rnacentral:lncRNA from 1 species
CGGACUGACGUUGUUUUCAGUAGAGCUACCUGUAUGGUUUUCUUGUGUGCAGGAAAAUGGAUUUUUAGGCGUCCCGAAAAAUUCCAAUAAAAAUUAGAGAAAAUCCACGCAUCGGGAGGAACCCUGGGUCAGAAGAUGGGCCAGAGGGGGGCCUCCAAGCGACCUGUGGGUGCGGCCUGCCCCCUGGCCGUGCCGGGAGGCUGCCUCGGUGGGGCCCACCUCCUCUGGUGCCCUACCUUGGCUCCUAUUUUCACCCGUGACAAAUAAACCCCAGAACAAAAGUCGUUUUGCAAGUUCUCGACGCAGAGCCACCGCCACACUCGGUUCUUCUCCGAGAGAGCUAAUCUGGAGGUUGCCUUGGCCUGCGGAGAGGGAAACUCGUCGCCAUCGUCAUCANAAUCAAUAAAUUGGGUUACUUACCCGCGACGACUGUUGCGAUCCCCUACACUUGUGGGUUAUCUGUAUGGCUUAUUGAUACGUCCCAAACGUAUAUAUAAUUUUUCCUUGCUAGAUGAUAUUUUGGGUGACAUUGUUAUAUGUAUUGCUACACUUGUAUCUCUUUUUACACAUAUUUGGACAACCUACUAACUCAGUGCACCCAGUGCCAGUUUCUGUGUGCUGAUGUCUUUUUUGCACGGGCUUUUAUCCAAAUUUCCAGAGCCCCAAAAAUUCUGAGAAAAAUAUAUAAAAAUCAGCGUGAAAAAAGCUUCCGGAGCAUCGAAGAUGGGCCACAGGGGAGCCAGGGGCUUCCUAGACGGCCACCCUGGGCGGCCUGGCCCCUGACCUCGCCCACACGCCGCCUGGGUGGGCCCCACCUCCUCUGACACCCUCCUUUGGCCUAUAUUAACCCCUCCAAUCAGAAACCCUUCCAUCAUAUCUAGAAUCGCGAAUUUCUCCAUCUUUUCGCCGCCUUAGCACUUUCGAUAUCGGGAGCGUCGGAAGACCUCUUCCCGGCACCCUGCGGGAGGGAGGAUUGACCUCUGGGAGCUUCUCCAUCGUCUUGGACGCUUGUCGGACAUGACGUGAGUAGUCCUCCGUGGACCAUGAGUCCAUGACUAGUAGCUAUGUGAUGUGUUCUCUCCAAUCUUGUGCUUCAAUGAUUAGCCCUUGUGAGCUGCCCUACAUGAUCAAGGCAUCUAUGUAAUUUUCCUGCUAUUGCUAUGCUCGGUUUGCUCGGAUCCGAUGGAUUAUGAGAUUAUGUUCAGAUUGUGAUGAGUUAUAUAUUUGAUUAUCCUUUUAUAUUAUGUUUUUUGGUGAUUCAUGCAUGUUCUUUGUUGCUCUUUAUUGCUUUGGCCGAGUAGUAGAUUGUAACUCCAAGAGGGAGCAUUAUGCAUGAUUGUGGGUUCAUGUCCCGUGAUGUCUAGCUUGAGUGUCAGAAACAUGAGACUACGGGAUGUGUUGUUGCCACCAGCGAGAAAAGAAUGGUUCUUGUGACCACGGUUGCAAUGAUUUUUUACCUUACGCAUAGUUCGUUAUUGGAGUUGUGCGUUGCUUUGAGUUUACACUUUGGGUGGGGCUCGCAACUUAAUACCAGCGAGAUGUUC